rnacentral:rRNA from 1 species
UACGUAGGGUCCAAGCGUUAUCCGGAAUCACUGGGCGUAAAGCGUGCGUAGGUGGCGUGUUAAGUGUGAUGCUAAAUCGUGGGGCUCAACCCUGUCGGUGCAUCACAUACUGGCAUGCUAGAGGACAGCAGAGGCAAGUGGAAUUUGUAGUGUAGCAGUGAAAUGCGUAGAUAUUACAAGGAACACCAAUGGCGAAGGCAGCUUGCUGGGCUACUCCUGACACUGAGGUACGAAAGCGUGGGGAGCGAACAGG